UACGUAGGAUCCGAGCGUUGUCCGGAUUUACUGGGUGUAAAGGGUGCGCAGGCGGACUGGUAAGUCAGAGGUGAAAUCUCGUCGCUUAACGACGAAACUGCCUUUGAUACUAUCAGUCUUGAAUCCGGUAGAGAUCUGUGGAAUUCCGAGUGUAGCAGUGAAAUGUGUAGAUAUUCGGAAGAACACCAGUGGCGAAGGCAGCAGAUUGGGCCGGUAUUGACGCUCAGGCACGAAAGCAUGGGGAUCAAACAGG
rnacentral:rRNA from 2 species